GGCUAGAUAGCUCAGUUGGUAGAGCAAAAGACUGAAAAUCUUUGUGUCGGGGGUUCGAUUCCCUCUCUAGCCACCA
rnacentral:tRNA from 1 species